AUACCACUAUGUUGCGUUAUUAUGCGUUAGUGAAAAUCAGAAAAUUCGACAACAACUGUAUUUUGUUUCUAGCAAAUCGUUUAUUUCGUAUGAUGAAAGUAAUCCAAGAAUACAUCUUAUUGGGUUGGCAAUUAAGUGAUUGCGGAGUUUGUCAUUAGGUGGUAAUGUUAGGUUAGCUGCCAAUCCAGUACUAUUUUUUAAUUGACCAAAUAUUUCUCAAUUAAUCGCGCAAUCGUUCCAAUAAAUGGAGUUCUAUUGUACACUGAGUUGAAAGGGGAAAUACGAGCUUACAUAUUCGCGGCGGAUAAAAAUUUAUGUGCGUGCGAUUUAAUGUAUUUAUACAUUAUUUUAUAAUAUAUUGUUAUUCGUAUUUUAUAGCCAUAACGUGGCACGUUAUGGAUUCUAUCCACAUUCGGGAUAUUGAUUAAAUAGAAAAAGGAAUCACUCGCUUCCGGAAUUUCUCAUAGAGUGAUCGUGUCAAAACGAUUAUCUCCGUAAUAAUUCAUAUUGUGGUUACAAUCUGUUAAUUGGGAUCGACAAAGGAGCUGUUGAGAUAAAAACUGGCGUCGUGUCACAGUCGAUAUAGCAGUGUAAAGGGUUAAUAUUCUUUGAAUUCCGAGGAUCUUUAACAACAUAUUGUUCGCAGAUAUCUCAAAAUUUAUAUUAUUUAUUACUAUUAUUAAAUAUUAUUAUAUUACUUUUUAAUUGUAUCAUCCUUCUAAUAAACCGACCAUUUAACUAAAGAAUAUAAAUGAAGAGGAAAUCCGAUCUCGCCAUUUAUCUGUAUCACGUGCUGUUAUGAGAGCUUGCAAAUCUACUUACAUAGGUACGUACAAACGAAUGUAACUAUUGCACGCGUACUCUCUUUGCAACUGUCCGGGCAAAUAUUUUCUCACGAUUGUACCGAUUGAGCGAUAACCUGCGUUACUCUAGAUCACAGAUAACAGAUAGUUGGAAUAUUGAUCUUCUGUUUUCCUCAAUUUUUGAUGACUCUCAUAGCGAAGGCAGUCAUGUCUUUUUCAUUGAAUACUUAAUAACACGAUUAGGAUUAAAUAUAGGAUCGUUUGGAAUUUAGAGAAUUCUUAAGGAUCGGUAAGAAUAAAGGUUUACUACUGGCUUUCUAAGCAUCGUUACACGAACUUGUACAGUAUAGAAACUAAUUUCUGAUCUGUAAUUAGCUAAUAGAUAAAUCGUUUUUUCGAAGAUUGUUAUACAGUAUAUGUAUCGAUUAGAUCUUGUCGAUGUAUAUAAGAAGCAACAAAACAAUUUUACUGACACAAUUUCCUUCUGUUCGACCCCUUGUCAUCGGGUGUCACGAUGGCUACUUUGAUUUCAGCAUCGCGAUAACCAAUGUCCUGAGUCACUAUAAACGGUGGGCUUUUGCAAAUGAGAUUUCGAUCGAAACUACUUGGCCAAUUAUAUAAAAUCGACUGUGUGCUAUCAAUGAUCUGAAUAAACAAUUACCUUACUUUGUAAAAAUAAAAAGCUUGGCUAAAUCAUUGGAAUAAGGCUAAUAGUAUAUUUAAGGCCGAAAUCUGAAUUUCUUGGCAUGAUCCAUAGUGCCGAACGAUUGCGUGCAGUCAGCUUUAUUUAUGGCCUCGAGGUCAGUCGAUUUCGCGUAUUAAGAUUAACAUUUUUAUUGGCCUUGUUGCCUAGACUUUCUUGCUCCUCUCCAAUCGAUUUAUGAUGCUGCUUAUCGUCGCACGGUGAAAUGUAAGUUCCACUUAUCCGAUCGUUUUAAGAUUACUUUAAUUUAACCGCAAUCCUAGCUGAAUAAAAGUUCCAUUUGGUUCUUAAAUUUAAUCCUCGUAAAA